CGCGGUGGUAAUACAUGGGGACAGAGCCCAAUAUUUAGAGGGAAGUCAAAGUGGGGCGCGGUGGUAAUACAUGGGGACAGAGCCCAAUAUUUAGAGGGAAGUCAAAGUGGGGCGCGGUGGUAAUACAUGGGGACAGGGCCCAACAUUUAGAGGGGUGAGGUGGUAAUACAUGGGGACAGAGCCCAAUAUUUAGAGGGGUGAGGUGGUAAUACAUGGGGACAGAGCCCAACAUUUAGAGGGAAAUCAAAGAGGGGUGAGGUGGUAAACCAUGGGGACAGGGCCCAACAUUUAGAGGGGUGAGGUGGUAAACCAUGGGGACAGGGCCCAACAUUUAGAGGGGUGAGGUGGUAAACCAUGGGGACAGGGCCCAACAUUUAGAGGGGUGAGGUGGUAAUACAUGGGGACAGAGCCCAACAUUUAGAGGGAAAUCAAAGAGGGGUGAGGUGGUAAACCAUGGGGACAGAGCCCAACAUUUAGAGGGGCGCGGUGGUAAUAGAUGGGGACAGGGUCCAACAUUUAGAGGGAAAUCA
ensembl:lncRNA